UCCUGGGCUGAGUCUCCUUCUACACAUCUGAACAAACAUUGCAUCUUUACUGCAAUGCCUGCCACGUGUGAUCGCUUUCCCUGCACUCAGCACAUUCCAAGCUUAAUUCACCACACUAUAUACCUUCUUCCUACAGAUAACCAUUAACUUCUUCUUUUACUGGAAUACCAUAAUAUGAAGGUGUCACACAAUCUUUGACAGCUAUGAGUUCACAUUUAUUAAUGUUAAGAAGACCAGACGCUUUGGAAAAUGAUUGUAAUCACAUUGAUCGAUAAAGGAAUUUCGUUUUCAGAAAAAGUGUACUAUCGUAAGCCAGCUGGUUGAUCAUCCUAGUAUUUUUGUCAGCCAUGUUGUGAAAGUGGUGUCUUUUGUUUUUCACGCUAUUUAUAUAGGCUAUCGCAGUUGUAGGUUUUUGUUUUUCACGCUAUUUAUAUAGGCUAUCGCAGUUGUAGGUUUUUGUUUUUCACGCUAUUUAUAUAGGCUAUCGCAGUUGUAGGUUUUUGUUUUUCACGCUAUUUAUAUAGGCUAUCGCAGUUGUAGUUUUUUUUUGUCGAUAUAAUGUUACAGGCAGAGUAGAAUAAUACGAACACGCCGACUUUCAUUCCGCUCAUAAUGUCUAAACUACAGUUGCUGAACGUGUAUCUUACUGACCGACCAACAGCGCCUGCUGCUCUAGAGAUAUCCGUAGCCAAAGAGACAACCAUACCAGAGCUGCAUGAAGAAGUCUACCGUUUGAAUGGCCGUCUACGAAGACUGUUGGAUUUGGUUUUCAAGCCAGAGUUAAAGUUACGCAGAGCAGGUUUGUAUUGCCUAGUUACUAUAUUAGCUAGUGUUAUAUAACUAUUCAUAUAUCAAGCAUUACUAGCUGGCCAACGCUCUGGUUAAACCGGAUGUCCUCAGAUAACUCUGGGCCCAGUGUCCUCAGUCAAGUUUAGAGCCUACGUGCAAUAGCAGCCAUGUGUCUUUUGGAUAAUUAUGUUAUCACUCAAAUAUACUCCCCUGCAACACUAACGAGCUUAGAGUGCCAAACUAUCUCACUGACAUUGAUCCUUGCAUGCACCCCUGCAUAAACAGGAAACACCUGAGCCUAACGCAGAAACUGCCAGUUCCCCUUAUCUCACGCUUCCUUGACACACAGACAUUUCAUAAGCACGUACUCACACUCCACACCCCUCUACUGGUCGGGUGCCAAGAGCAAAGGACUCUACUGUGCACCAAUGGGGCUCCAGCUCUGGCUAGAGCAGGCCCGCCUCCAACUCUUCAGGACCAGUCAGAAGACCAACACGACGAGACUCCACCUACAUUAUUCUGUGUAUACAUUCUGCUGCAAACUCUGUCAAAGCAGCCUAAUUAGCUGACUCCUCACAGAGUCAUAUGUUUAGGUCCGUGCACGCUUAACUGCAGGACAAGAUAUCUCUGACUUUAAAUAAACUGCCUUUUUGCUACACUUGAUUCCACUCUGUCCAGCGUCGUUGUUUUGCACUCCCUCUCCAGUAUGUGAACACCAACAUUAGCCAAGUAUCUGAACGCCUCCACGGAGUUGAGCGCAGGUUAAGAAAAAUGAAUAAACCUCGAACUGGAGUCUCUGUGCAGUCGACAUGUCAAAAUGUAAGUUCUUAAACUACGGACGUCAAAAACAUUCAGUCUGCGAAGACUAUGGGGGCUAGUUUAGAGCGCCAGAUUUCCAGCAGCUCACUCUCCCCAUAUCUGAAGAGGUUCCCCCUGAACAGCAGCACUGUGAGCAGGAGUGGAGCACCAGUCUGAUUCAGGAGGACCCAGUGCCCACACAGAUUAAAGAGGAACAGGAGGAACUACAGACCAGUCAAGAGGAAGAUCAGCUUCUAGGGCCCUUUCAUACCAAAGACUCCAUAUUCACUUCUCCCUUUGUGGAAAGUGACUGUGAUCAGGAGAACCCAUCUCAGCCCUCACAUCUACACCAAACCCAAACUGUGGAGGACAGAGAGAGGGACCCUCUACUCACCGACACAUCUAUAGAGAUCAAACUAGAACCUGAUGUAGAGGACUACAGAGUAUCAGAACCAGCCAGUGAUUCUCAGCCCCUCUCUCCAGUAACUCCAGACUGUUCUGCAGCUCAGUGUGAAAACAUGGAAAGUGAUGAUAAGGUGGAGAGUAGAGGACAGCAAUCAGGAUCUAAGACACUCGAAUCAAAGAGAAAACAGAUUGAGAAUGGAGAAAGCUCUCAUACCAAUACUGGAGGCAGGACGGCCACUAUGUUGCCCCAUUUGACAUCUAGUCAAACUUAUGCUGCUCCUAAUUGUAAGAAGCGUUCCAUCCGUAUGUGUGGGGAGUGUGAGCCAUGCAGGAGGACUGAGGACUGUGCUCAGUGUGAUUUCUGUAAAGACAUGAAGAAGUUUGGAGGAUCCAAUAAGAAAAGACAGAAGUGCAGACUCAGGCAGUGUGACGUCCGCGCUCCGGAAAUGCUGCGUGUGAAGGAUGAGGAGGUUGACCUGUCUGGCUUGGGGAGCAGGGGGAGCCUGAGGAGAGGAGGACAUCGGUCUGAUGACUACAGUGAGAAUGAGAUGGAAUGUGAUGAAGCUGCACGCCCGUCAUUAUAAAAAUGCACUGAACCAACAUGCAUGGUUGUUGAUGACACUCUGAUGUUUAGAUGAACAGAAUGAAAUAGUCUCUAUAAUGCUCUCUAUAAUACAGCGCUUUAACUCAGACAGCUGUUUGUAGCUGCUGGAAAAGCAUUUCAAAGCCUAAACUUAACUCAGGAUGGAACUUUCCAGUGCUACUGUUUUUGCCAUGUAAUAUUUUUAUGAAAACAAAAUCAGACAACCAUAUAGUAGAAUAGUUGAUCUAUUUAUCUAGUCUGCUUGUUGUGUGUUCUAUGUGAGAUAAAUAUUCCUCUCGAGGUGCAUUCAAGUUGUGGGAGCCAUAGGAGGGAAACAAGUUCUCUGACAAGCAGUCAAUGCACAGCAAGUCUUAAUGUUAUCUCGCAAAAACACUUUUAAAAGCAGUUUUGUCCCUUAAAAAAAUUAGGGGGAACCCAGUUUUACAUUGCUGCCACGUUUAUUUCUCGACUCCUUCAAUUGCGUGUGGCAUCGUUAAACAAAUGCAGAGUUUCAAGCAUGGUGUAGGUGCAACACAGCAAAUAAAUUCAUUAAAAUCCUACAAUGUGAUUUUCUGGAUUGUUUUUCUCAUUUUGUCUGUCAUAGUUGAAGUGUACCUAUGAUGAAAAUUACAGGCCUCAUCUUUUUAAGUGGGAGAACUUGCACAAUUGGUGGCUGACUAAAUACUUUUUUACCCCACUGUAUUACUGCCAUUUGAUUUAACGAUCUCCUGUGGUAUGUAUUUGCGGCCGUGGCACAGUGAUCAAGGGUUCCUUUGACCCUGUGCAGCAUCAAACAGCCAUCAAGGUCAAACAUCAAGAGCUGAGAGACGUGACAAGGAGAAAGUACAACCUUCUCCAUAACAUGAAGGUCGGCAUUGUUUGUGGUGCAAAAAUCGCUGUUAAUGCCGCAAUCUUCUAUUGCUAUAUAUUUAUUUGGAAUUUUAAAAUGAAUGAUGUACCUAUACUCUUGUAGAAUAUAGCUUAGAAAUGCUUCAGUCAUGAACUGAAACUAAUGUGGAUGUUAUGGAUGGUCAUCCCACAAGCAGCAACACAUUACACCACAUGUAAAUUACAUGAGGUAGGUUUCCAUGGCGACAGAUUUCCAUGCAAAUAUUCUAGUUUGCAUAAACAAAACGUGCAUUUACCCACCCGUGCCGUGGUUCCACCAAACAAGACUUGUUGCAGAUUUUUAAAAAAAUCAGUGCGUGAUAAAGUAGUACACAUAAUGUACUUUAACUUAAAGAUGCCCUUCAGGACCUUAAGCAUAACAUAU